GUUUGGGAAAAGACUGUCAAGAAAGAAUAUCUAAAAAUUAUAACCGAUUCUAAGUAUAUACUUUAAGAAAUUCAGGUUUGACUGUAUCUACUUCAUAAAUUUAUCAUUAUCUUUUUAUAACUAUUAGAAUCAGAGUUAGAAAGAAGCAGUUUGACUAAUACAAAAAUUAUGUGGAUUCUGUUAGAGUAGUUCAGGUUCCUUAAAAUAAGCAUAUAUCAACUAAAAAGCUAGGUAUAAAAGCUAAAUAAGUGAAAUUGAAGCAGUUUUAUUGCAAGAUUUGGAAGAGUGCAGGAUGUUUAUCAUAGCACAUUAUUAAUAUUUAUUACUCUUCCUAUGUAGAUAAGUGAUGUCCUAGAUUUACAACAUAGAAAAACAGGUAGAGUCGUUUAGCUGUGAGUGUACAAGUAUAAAUCAAUUAAGUGCCAGAUUUUGAUAAUCACCAGCUGCUCAUUCAAGUCCUAUGUUGCAAAGUUACUCUUACCCUUUUUUUACAUUACUUGAUAAAGGCAAUGUUUAAUUACAUAUUUCCUGUUAACUAGCUGGUAGAGUUCAUACCUAAAGUCAGUAAAUAAUGUUAAGAAUUUUUUCCAGCUGAGCAAAUGAAUAUGUAUCUAGUUGUAAGAAAUCAAGAAGAGGAUAUAAAAUAUAAUCAGGAUAUGGACUCUAAAACGGAAUAAGCUCUAUGUCCUGUAACUUUUUUCACUUGUAAUAAUACAGCAUUCUC
rnacentral:lncRNA from 1 species